AAACUAGAUCCGCUCUCUCCCAAGCUUCAUGGGGAAUUUCAGUUAAUGCUUUACUCACAAGGUGUCUCUCCUAACGGUGGAGAGGUGGAGACAGUGAGGUGAGGACCCGAAGGAUGAGGUCACUGGGGGCAGGUCAGUAGGGAAGUCUUUGUGGCCAAGGUACCUUUGGCUUACUUAUGAAAUCUGAGACACAGCUACUUAUGCCAUCUGGGGCUUGUGUCUACUGAGGGCAGGAUAAGAUUCCACAUUUUCUUUUAUUUCUUCCUGUUAAGGGUCUCACCCACUCCUGGAACUGCUUUUGUUUUAAUUCAUUUUUGUAUUAAUGAGAGCUACGUGGUGGGAAUGAACAGUCAGGAGUGGACAUAACAGGAAGUAUGUAUGCUACUACCUGGAAUAGGUUACACAAGAAGCCCUAAAAUCUGACUUUUACACAACAAUUACCUCUUUAGCAAUGUGACAUUGGGAAAUCAGUGACCCUUUCUGAUUUGGUCUAUGGCUUGAUCUUGUAAACUACACCUCACUGUGCAUUUGUUUAUUAAAUUAAUUUUUUUUAAAAAAUGGCUUUAUGAACCUCAACUCUUACUGCAUACACAAAAAUUAAAUUGAAACAGAUCAUAGACCUUUAUGUUUGUUAAAACUAUACUUUUAGAAGCAAAUAUAGGAGAAAAUCUUCCCGAUCUUGGAGUAGGCAGAGAUUGUUUAGAACACAGAGAACCUCUACCAGAUUCUAAAUGGGUAAUUUAGAAGUCACUGAAAUUUAAAUAUUCUACUUUUAGCCCAGUGAGGGGGCCCACGCCUAUAGUCUGAGCAUUGGGGAUGCUGAGGUGUAAGGAUCUCUCAAGCUCACAGUUCCAGGCCAAUCUGGGCAACAUAGUGGGAAUCUGUUUCAAAACAAACAAACAAAAAC
rnacentral:lncRNA from 1 species